GUCAUUUUUCAGAAUAUAUCUGUGGAGUAAUGUCCAAAUGGACGGUGUGGAUUUGGUUUCAUCUGAGCGUUCAUGAUUACAGUGAGACCUUUGCAUUUUGGUUCGCAGUCAGAACAGCUGUAACCUGUGCUCAAUACUAAGUAUUAAAAAGAGGGUCCAGGGUUAGCUGAGGAAGAGGAGAAACACCUGCUUGUUGCUAUUGUUCGGACGGUUUUCUCUAAAGAUGUCUGAACUCUCCAACAUGCUGCAGCUGGACAUGGGAGGGGCUGUGAAACUUUUUGGCCUGUUUAUUGUAGAUCUUUUCAGAGCUGUUACUGGCAGCAGAUGUCUUGUAUACACUAGCAGCAUUAUCCUGCGGUACGCUGAUGUUGACAUAAAUAUUAUGGAGCUUUCCUGUAAUUCUGCAAACCCAAAUAAUCUUUUUUGG